UGGGGAAUAUUGGACAAUGGGCGCAAGCCUGAUCCAGCCAUGCCGCGUGAGUGAUGAAGGCCCUAGGGUUGUAAAGCUCUUUCACCGGUGAAGAUAAUGACGGUAACCGCAGAAGAAGCCCCGGCUAACUUCGUGCCAGCAGCCGCGGUAAUACGAAGGGGGCUAGCGUUGUUCGGAUUUACUGGGCGUAAAGCGCACGUAGGCGGACUAUUAAGUCAGGGGUGAAAUCCCGGGGCUCAACCCCGGAACUGCCUUUGUUACUGGUAGUCUUGAGUUCGAGAGGGGUGAGUGGAGUUCCGAGUGUAGAGGUGAAAUUCGUAGAUAUUCGGAGGAACACCAGUGGCGAAGGCGGCGCACUGGCUCGAUACUGACGCUGAGGUGCGAAAGCGUGGGGAGCAAACAGG
rnacentral:rRNA from 1 species